GCCCUUGUAGUUCAACGGAUAGAAUGUAGGCUUGCGGAGCCUAAGAUCCAAGUUCGAUUCUUGGCAAGGGCA
rnacentral:tRNA from 1 species